GACGAACGCUGGCGGCGUGCUUAACACAUGCAAGUCGAACGGAGUUCCUUGGAUAGAGGCUUCGGCCAAUUGAAUUGGAACUUAGUGGCGGACUGGUGAGUAACGCGUGAGGAACCUGCCUUUCAGAGGGGGACAACAGUUGGAAACGACUGCUAAUACCGCAUGACACAUUCGGGUGGCAUCGCUUGAAUGUCAAAGAUUUUAUCGCUGAAAGAUGGCCUCGCGUCUGAUUAGCUAGUUGGUGGGGUAACGGCCUACCAAGGCGACGAUCAGUAGCCGGACUGAGAGGUUGACCGGCCACAUUGGGACUGAGAUACGGCCCAGACUCCUACGGGAGGCAGCAGUGGGGAAUAUUGGGCAAUGGACGCAAGUCUGACCCAGCAACGCCGCGUGAAGGAAGAAGGUCUUCGGAUUGUAAACUUUGUCUUUGGUGAAGAUAAUGACGGUAGCCAAGGAGGAAGCCACGGCUAACUACGUG
rnacentral:rRNA from 1 species